GGGACAGUGAUGUAACCUUUGCCUUGUCUCUAGAGAGGUGUUGUCUUAAAUGUCUUGCACAAUAGAGUUACGCUGAGGACC
rnacentral:snoRNA from 1 species